AUGGCUUUGUUUACCCGGAGAUAAGCAAAAGCCAGUUGGAAUCCUUUCCACUUUUUUCCCGCUCAAAAAAAGUGGGGGUGGGAAAUCCAUGGGGGUAGUAGUAAAGAGAAGAGGGUAGGCAGAGAAAUAUAAUUUUAAACUAAUGACCUAAACAAACAAACAAACCCACAGAUGGAGAACAUUUAGCAUGGGGGAAAAGAAGCAAUAGAGAAGGCUGAACAAGAAGCAGGCCUAUGAUGCAACGUUUGUGUCUGCCGGCAAAUGAGAAACAAAUCAACUCGGAUUAAAAAGUAAAGGUAGCUGUUGGCCUAUAAGACAAAUUUCAAAACCUAUACUGUAUUAGGGCAAUGCCUUUACCACCACCAGUAAAUGUACAUAGUCCAAGGUUUUGUGAGGUAUGACCCCCCACUCAGCCCUGGAAGCUGUUUUCCAUUGCAGUAGGAGUGCCUCUGAAACAGAAAGUCUGGACACCAUCCUGAGGUACGAAUGAAACGUUUAUUUCCCCCUGACAUCAGCUAGCUCCUUGCCAAGUGAUCCUAACGCUUAACAGCUAACACUAUACUGCACUCUGGCCACGAAGAAUGGAAUGUGCAGCUCUUUAUGAACUACCUGUCAAUGUCUGCACAUGAAAUAAUAAUGGCAAAGAUGCUGUUGAGCAAGUGCAGAGUUUAAAUGGAGUUUGGGACCAGCCCUGAAAUGUGAUGUCAGAAAUAAGGAAGAGAGGAAGGCUUGAGUCUUUCUUCAAUCAUUUCAGCAAAUUCAGAUUUGAGCUUUUGGCCUAAAUCCAGCGAUUCUUAAACUAUGGGGAUGUUCACAGUUGAAAAGGACUUAGAACUGGAGCUAAGCCUGUGACCCCAGAAGGACAUUGACAGUAGAGAGAACUGAGUGAAUAACUGUAAAGAUAAGCAGGGAAAGCUGGAACAGAAAGAGGGGAUUGUCAAGGCCACCCACCAGAGACGGCCACCCUCCACUUGUUCUCAUGGUUGGUCACAUCCUGGGAUGAAAGAGGAGCUUCCAAGAGAAGAGGGCUCCACACCUGUGAAGCAGUCAUCAAGAAUGCCUCUCUGGGGGCCCUUGUUGCUCUCCAGAAUUGGUACCUAGAAGAUACGGUCAAGGGUGUCUGAGAGAGGUGGUUUCUAAAGUAUCUUUUGUUUAAAGGCCACUUUCUAUUUACCAUUUGCAAUAUUUACUGUGUGUGCACAACUGCACAUACUAUCCACAACUUAGGAUGCUUCCAGACUCAUGGUAUUUUCAGAAGCAAUUCGUUCACAUACUGGCAAAUUCAGAUUGUGCAAUUAUAGUCGAUUUGGAAGGUCUUGCACAACAAAUCUUCCCCCAAAGAUUGGACUUUUUGCAAUAAAUAAAAUGAUGAGGAAAUGGAUAAUACUAGUUUGACAAAUCAUCUAACCUCCCCACAAACAAGUCAAAAUGAGUGCUCAUUAAAUAGCAAUUAUCAUCUAAUCUGCCUGCAAAUAAAUCAGGAUGAAUGCCCAAUAACUGGUCAUGUGGAAGUGCCCCUGGUGAUACAGUGUGUUGCUGUUCCCAUUUUACACAUGUGUAACCCUCUAAAGCUGAAAGGUAGUGGCUUGACCAAGAUCGCACAGUGAAUUGGGGCUGUGGUGAGAAAUGAGACCAUACUGCCCAGACCCCUGGUCCUACUUUCUAAACAUUGCAGUGUUGGUUCUCAACCAUACUUGUUGACUUAUUCUCUUACAUAUAUUUCACUUACACAUUUGCAAGAUUACGAGUACAUGCAUAGUCCCACAUCCAGGGCAAAAGGGAGAUGCUAGUUUUGAACUAAGUUCCUCCCCCUCCUGCCUUGCCUCUCCAGCCCCAAUUGUCUGUUUGUUUAUGGUCAGUUUCACCAUCAUAAAGAUUUUCUAAAUAAUAUUAUCAGCAAUUAACAGCUCAUAAAAUGCUAAGCGUAUUGCAAGGCCAUUUGCUCUGGAAGCUUUGUAAGACUCUGGCACCUUGGUAGUUAAUUUUUCUAAAUCUGAAUGGCUGCAGAGCUCAUAUCUGUGGUCUUGCAAUCUCUGCUUUCAAGUUCUUAGACCUGAGGGACAGCUCAAGUUUUCCAAAAAUUCUUUAAUUUAUUCCUAGUUAGCUUCGUUGUAGCCAGUGGAGAGGAAAUGCCUGUCAGAAUUAUAAGGAUUUAAAUCUGUUGU